rnacentral:rRNA from 1 species
AUAGGGGAGCCGUAGGGAAACCGAGUCUUAACUGGGCGAAUGAGUUGCAGGGUAUAGACCCGAAACCCGGUGAUCUAUCCAUGGGCAGGUUGAAGGUUGGGUAACACUAACUGGAGGACCGAACCGACUAAUGUUGAAAAAUUAGCGGAUGACUUGUGGAUGGGGGUGAAAGGCCAAUCAAACCGGGAGAUAGCUGGUUCUCCCCGAAAGCUAUUUAGGUAGCGCCUCGUGAAUUCAUCUUCGGGGGUAGAGCACUGUUUCGACUAGGGGGUCAUCCCGACUUACCAACUCGAUGCAAACUGCGAAUACCGAAGAAUGUUAUCACGGGAGACACACGGCGGGUGCUAACGUCCGUCGUGAAGAGGGAAACAACCCAGACCGCCAGCUAAGGUCCCAAAGUCAUGGUUAAGUGGGAAACGAAGUGGGAAGGCUCAGACAGCCAGGAUGUUGGCUUAGAAGCAGCCAUCAUUUAAAGAAAGCGUAAUAGCUCACUGGUCGAGUCGGCCCGCGCGGAAGAUGUAACGGGGCUAAACCAUGCACCGAAGCUGCGGCAGCGACACAAAGUGUUGUUGGGUAGGGGAGCGUUCUGUAAGCCUGCGAAGGUGUACUGUGAGGUAUGCUGGAGGUAUCAGAAGUGCGAAUGCUGACAUAAGUAACGAUAAUGCGGGUGAAAAACCCGCACGCCGGAAGACCAAGGGUUCCUGUCCAACGUUAAUCGGGGCAGGGUGAGUCGACCCCUAAGGCGAGGCUGAAAAGCGUAGUCGAUGGGAAACGGGUUAAUAUUCCCGUACUGGUGGUAACUGCGAUGGGGGAACGGAGAAGGCUAGGUUGUCCGGGCGACGGUCGUCCCGGUUCAAGCAGGUAGGCAGAGUGAUUAGGCAAAUCCGGUCACUUAAUGCUGAGAUGUGAUGACGAACCACUAAGGUGGUGAAGCAAUUGAUGCCCCGCUUCCAGGAAAAGCCUCUAAGCUUCAGGUUACCAACAAUCGUACCCCAAACCGACACAGGUGGUCAGGUAGAGAAUACUCAGGCGCUUGAGAGAACUCGGGUGAAGGAACUAGGCAAAAUGGUGCCGUAACUUCGGGAGAAGGCACGCUGGCGGUAGGUAAAGUCCCUCGCGGACAGAGCUGAAGCCAGUCGAAGAUACCAGCUGGCUGCAACUGUUUAUUAAAAACACAGCACUGUGCAAACACGAAAGUGGACGUAUACGGUGUGACGCCUGCCCGGUGCUGGAAGGUUAAUUGAUGGGGUUA